rnacentral:rRNA from 1 species
AUUGAACGCUGGCGGCGUGCUUAACACACGCAAGUCGAUCGGUAACAGGUGUAGCAAUACAUGCUGACGAGAGGCGGACGGGUGAGGAAUAUUUGGGAAUCUGCCCAUCAGCGGGGGACAACCCGGGGAAACCCGGGCUAAUACCGCAUACGCUCUACGGAGGAAAGCCGGGGACCGCAAGGCCUGGCACUGAUGGAUGAGCCCAAAUCGGAUUAGCUAGUUGGCGGGGUAACGGCCCACCAAGGCGACGAUCCGUAGCUGGUCUGAGAGGACGAUCAGCAACACCGGAACUGAGACACGGUCCGGACUCCUACGGGAGGCAGCAGUGGGGAAUAUUGGACAAUGGGGGAAACCCUGAUCCAGCGACGCCGCGUGGGUGAAGAAGGCCUGCGGGUUGUAAAGCCCUUUCGGUAGGGACGAAAGCUCUUGCUCUAACAAGGCAGGAGGUUGACUUAACCUACAUAAGAAGCACCGGCUAACUCUGUGCCAGCCGCCGCCGUAACAC